rnacentral:rRNA from 1 species
GAUGAACGCUGGCGGCGUGCUUAAUACAUGCAAGUCGAACGAAGAGUCCGUGUAGCAAUACUAUGACUUCUUAGUGGCGAACGGGUGCGUAACGCGUUGGUGACCUGCCCCGAAGUGUGGAAUAACAGUUCGAAAGGACUGCUAAUACCGCAUGUGAUCGUCGGUUUUAGAAUCCGGUGAUUAAAGCAGUAAUGCGCUUCGGGAGGGACCUGCGUCCCAUCAGCUAGUUGGUGAGGUAAUGGCCCACCAAGGCUUCGACGGGUAGGGGACCUGAGAGGGUGGUCCCCCACACUGGCACUGAAACACGGGCCAGACACCUACGGGUGGCAGCAGUAGGGAAUAUUGGGCAAUGGGCGAAAGCCUGACCCAGCAACGCCGCGUGCACGAUGAAGGUCUUCGGAUCGUAAAGUGCUUUUCUGAGAGAUGAGAAAGGACAGUAUCUCAGGAAUAAGUCUCGGCUAACUACGUGCCAGCAGCCGCAGUAAAAC